UUUUUGUUUUUUUAUAAAAAGUAAUUUCUGCUCAAUGAUUUUUAAAUAGCUGCAGUAAUUUGACUGUACAAAGGUAGCAUAAUCAUUUGUUUCGUAAUUGGGGACUAGUAUGAAGGGAGUUACAAAAUAUUAGCUUUAUUUUUAAAAAAUUUAGAAUUUGUUUUUUUAGUGAAGAUACUAAAAUUAAAAUUUAAGACAAGAAGACCCUUUUGAGCUUUAUUGCUUAUUAAUUUAUUUAAUUAAUUGUAAUUUGGUUGGGGCAACCAAGGAAGAGUAAUUUUCCUUUAAAAAAUUUUGAUCUAACAUUAUUAAUUAAUAGAACAAGUUACCAAAGGGAUAACAGCAUAAUUUUUUUUGAAAGUUCUUAUUUUAAUGAAAGAUUAUGACCUCGAUGUUGACUUAUAAUUUCCUGUUGGUGCAGUAACUGUUAGGGUGGGUCUGUUCGACCUUUAAAAUUUU
rnacentral:rRNA from 1 species